GUGACUUGCUACCACCACAACAGCAGAGCCUGUCACACCCAGCAGAUCUCCAGUUGCCUCUGAUAUCACCCCCUCCGUCGUCUCCGUGUGUGGCCUUCUAAAUGCCCAUCUUGUUGGCCUGGGUUCAGCUGGUGGUAUGGAGGGGUGCUGCCUAGCAUUGACCUGGGAGUGUGUGUUGACCUACUGACCCAAUGGACAUCAAAGGCCAGUUCUGGAAUGAUGAUGAUUCGGAGGGAGAUAAUGAAUCAGAGGAAUUUCUCUAUGGAGUUCAGGGGAGCUGUGCUGCUGACCUGUAUCGACACUCACAGCUUGAUGCAGACAUUGAAGCCGUGAAGGAGAUCUACAGUGAGAAUUCUGUAUC